rnacentral:rRNA from 1 species
CCUACGGGAGGCAGCAGUGAGGAAUUUUCCGCAAUGGUCGCAAGACUGAACGAGCAACGCCGCGUGCAGGAAGAAGGCCUUCGGAUUGUAAACUGCUUUUACCAGGGAAGAGAAUGGACGGUACCUGGUGAAUCAGCCCCGGCUCACUACGUGCCAGCAGCCGCGGUAAU